UACGAAGGGGACUAGCGUUGUUCGGAAUUACUGGGCGUAAAGCGCACGUAGGCGGAUUGCUAAGUCAGGGGUGAAAUCCCGGGGCUCAACCUCGGAACUGCCUUUGAUACUGGCUAUCUUGAGUAUGGGAGAGGUGUGUGGAACUCCGAGUGUAGAGGUGAAAUUCGUAGAUAUUCGGAAGAACACCAGUGGCGAAGGCGACACACUGGCCCAUUACUGACGCUGAGGCUCGAAAGCGUGGGGAGCAAACAGG
rnacentral:rRNA from 1 species